GCAAGAUGUAGCUUAAAUUAAAGUACGACACUGAAAAUGCCGCGAUAAAUAGUAGAUAUUUCACCAGCA
rnacentral:tRNA from 1 species